CCACGAGCGUUGAAAAGCUCGGGGAUGACUUGUGGGUAGCGGUGAAAUUCCAAUCGAGCCCGGAGAUAGCUGGUUCUCCCCGAAAUAGCUUUAGGGCUAGCCUCAAGGUGAGAGAUACGGAGGUAGAGCACUGAAUGUCCUAGGGGGUAUUGCACCUACCGAAGACUAUCAAACUCCGAAUGCCGUCAUCUUAUACUUGGGAGUCAGACUGUGGGUGAUAAGAUUCAUAGUCGAAAGGGCAACAGCCCAGAUCGUCAGCUAAGGUCCCUAAAUGUAAGUUAAGUGGUAAAGGAUGUGGGAUUGCACAGACAACCAGGAUGUUGGCUUAGAAGCAGCCACUCAUUCAAAGAGUGCGUAAUAGCUCACUGGUCGAGUGAUCCUGCGCCGAAGAUUUCCGGGGCUAAAACUUACUACCGAAGCUACGGCAUCAGUAAUGAUGGGUAGGGGAGCUUCCCAUACGGGUUGAAGCAUGACCGUAAGGACAUGUGGACAGUAUGGGAGUGAGAAUGUUGGC
rnacentral:rRNA from 1 species